CCAAGCCCACCUCCCCUCCUUCUGUUGUCAUCCACUGAGGAGGAUUUUCUCCUGCUCAAUACAAGAUCUGUCACUGUGAAGUGCGUACAUUUCUGAACUUUUGUUACCCUAAGUGCAGAGGAAACGCUGCACUGCCGGAGUGAAAACACACGCGCAGGAGUUAUGAUGUGACACAGGUGCAAAGGAAAGCCUUCGUGAGUUCCAGCGAGGACUCGUGGAGGAAAGUCUGGAAAGUCCGGGCUGACUCAACGUGCCGUCACCUUCACAGAAUGCAGCGAGCCAGCACAGACGACGAGCGAGAAAGGCAGACAGGCAGACAGCGAGGCAGCAGGCACGCUGUCUGAAAACGCAGCUGAGGAAGGCAGUGUGAAAGGGAAUUGUGAUGUCGAAGGCCUGUGUUUGACAGAAAAGGGUCUUCUCCAAGCCAUUCCCACAACCAGGAAAAUGCUGACACAGAUAACAAGGCACUUGUCGGCUGUGUGAAAACAACCCUCCGACCAAACUACUUGUGCCCUACAUAACCAUCAGCUUGUGGCAGUACUUGACAAAAUGGGUCAAUGUUCAUUCUAUUUAAAAAACGCGAGUCAAACACAGGUCAAUUAUAUGUUCGUUCUUGCAGGCGUCAACAAUUCCACAAAAGCAGAUUAGCUGUUUUGCAUUGAAGCGAUUUGCAUGAACAAAUGUCAGGACGUUCCUCUUUGUCUCCUCCGCCCUUACAAACCUGCGUCUUCUUGGCUUCGCCCAAUUCUUGCAUUUAUCUGGGCGGGUGUUUUAAAAUCGCUGUUCAAAAGAUGUUGCUGCACACAGACAGGUGGGGCUUAUAAAGGGACAGUGAUGGCAUCUGUGAGACUUCUAUUAUUGAAAAUCGUGAAUUGAUGAGAUAAUGACAGCUAAUCACUUUGCAAACUUGAAGGCGUGGCUAAUUACUGCAUGUGUUGUGUUUAGCACAACCCUUCAUUAUCUGCAUCGGACUGGCACCUUUUGUUUACUCCGCGUAGCAGAAAGCUUGUUAGUUGGUAUGCAAAUACACUUAACACAUUUUUCUUUGAGGUGGAGAUACGUGUUAAGUUACGGUACAAUCCACAUGAAGGUCAAUCGAUUAACGUCUGUCCUCUGUCCUCUUCUGGCAUUUUAAAAGACUUGUUUCCACCUAGAAACAAGGUUCAGUUCAUUAUGAUACACACUAAAUAACCAAUCUUAAUCAAAAGUGUGCGAUUUUUCAGUAACCCAAGAAAAACACCAUUUUAGGAUCCAUUUACACUUACUAGUUUUUAACUCAUUCAGUUCCAGCACUCCCAGUUAACAUGAAUAUUAGACUUCUAUAGCAGUCAAUGGCAGUGAGUGUGUUUCAAAGAAAAACAGAUAAAACAUGAUUUGCAAAUAAAAUUAAAAACGUUGUGAAUAAAGUAAAAGAGUACUAUUCUAGUACUUUUUCUUAACCCAACAAAACUAAAAACAUCAUAUUCGGGGGCUGUUUAGAGAGAAACAUUUCAAGUAAAAACACUAAAAGCUGUAUAUUUUUGGGCACUUUUUUGCAAAACUUUAGAACUUUUGAAAAUAGGUCCCAAAAAGGAUGAUUUUAAAAAUGAUUGCAUUAUAGUACGUGACAUUUAUUCACAAAUAGCGGAACAAAGGGUUGUUACUGUGUGUGUGCCAGUUAAGAUAAUAAGCUCAAUAACACUUCUUGAGUAUGUUUAUUAUGACCAAUGGGACGCACUACUCCGGAACUCAAAUACACAUGUAAAACGUGUUUACUAGAUCAUUCUGUUCUAAAUGUACUCAUAAAAAUAAA